AGGGUGUAAACGCUGCAGACUUGGUGUUGGAGGCCCUUUGGGGGCAUUCAGUGCCGGAGAGAAGUUGUUAAGUCUGCUACUUGGGGAGUACGUCCGCAAGGAUGAAACUUAAAGGAAUUGGCGGGGGAGCACCGCAACGGGAGGAGCGUGCGGUUUAAUUGGAUUCAACACCGUAAAACUCACCAGGGAAGACUGUUACAUGAAGGCCGAGAUGAAGACUCUGCUAGAUUUUCAGAGAGGUGGUGCAUGGCGUCAGUGACUGU
rnacentral:rRNA from 1 species